rnacentral:rRNA from 1 species
AUUGAACGCUGGCGGAAUGCUUUACACAUGCAAGUCGAGCGGCAGCGCGGGGCAACCUGGCGGCGAGCGGCGAACGGGUGAGUAAUGUAUCGGAACGUACCCAGUCGUGGGGGAUAACUAUCCGAAAGGAUAGCUAAUACCGCAUACGUCCUGAGGGAGAAAGCGGGGGAUCGCAAGACCUCGCGCGAUUGGAGCGGCCGAUAUCGGAUUAGCUAGUUGGUGAGGUAAAGGCUCACCAAGGCGACGAUCCGUAGCUGGUCUGAGAGGACGACCAGCCACACUGGAACUGAGACACGGUCCAGACUCCUACGGGAGGCAGCAGUGGGGAAUUUUGGACAAUGGGGGCAACCCUGAUCCAGCCAUUCCGCGUGAGUGAAGAAGGCCUCGGUUGUAAGUAC